rnacentral:rRNA from 1 species
UACGUAGGGCGCAAGCGUUAUCCGGAAUUAUUGGGCGUAAAGAGCUCGUAGGCGGUUUGUCGCGUCUGCCGUGAAAGUCGGGGGCUCAACCCUCGAAUGCCGGUGGAUACUGUCGGGCUAGAGUGCGGAAGAGGCGAGUGGAAUUCCUGGUGUAGCGGUGAAAUGCGCAGAUAUCAGGAGGAACACCGGUGGCGAAGGCGGGAUCCUGGGCCAGUACUGACGCUGAGGAGCGAAAGCGUGGGGAGCAAACAGG